CGGGGUGCAGCAGGCGCGAAAACUUUGCAAUACACGAAAGUGUGACAGGGUCAUCCCGAGUGCCGACCGCUGAGGUUGGCUUUUACCCUGUCUAGAAAGCUGGGGGAAUAAGGAGAGGGCAAGUCUGGUGUCAGCCGCCGCGGUAAUACCAGCUCUCCGAGUGGUGUGGUCGUUUAUUGGGCCUAAAGCAUCCGUAGCUGGCUGAACAAGUCCCCUGUUAAACCCACCGAUUUAAUCGUUGGUCUUCGGGGGAUACUGCUUGGCUAGGGGAUGAGAGAGGCAGACGGUAUUCCCGGGGUAGGGGUGAAAUCCUAUAAUCCCGAGAAGACCACCAGUGGCGAAGGCUGUCUGCUAGAACGCGCCCGACGGUGAGGGAUGAAAGCUGGGGGAGCGAACCGGAUUAGAUACCCGGGUAGUCCCAGCUGUUAACGAUGCAGACUAGGUGUUUGGACGGCCACGUGCCGUUCUAGUGCCGCAGGGAAGCUGUUAAGUCUGCCGCCUGGGGAGUACGAUCGCAAGAUUGAAACUUAAAGGAAUCGGCGGGGGAGCACAAGGGCGAAUUCGCG
rnacentral:rRNA from 1 species